GGGAAAUGUGGAAAAUAUAACAGCAUGACCAAAGUUACUCAGGUGAGCGAUGUGGCCCAUGGGCCUCUUGUUGUUUCAGCGCAACUCCUCAUAAACCGCUGCACAGAAUUUCGUCAAACUCUGCAAAUAUUUAGGACACAAUGUGUAGAUGUGCAUAUUACCAGGAAAUUCCGAUUCCUUUAUUUUUUCGGGGAACUUCGGCACUUUUCAACUUACAUUUUUGGCCAUAUCUUAAAUAUAGAGAUGAACAGUUUGUCAGCGCAACUCCUCAUAAACUGCUGCA